rnacentral:lncRNA from 10 species
CAGAAAGUGUUAAAGCCCAUGAUGACUGCACCAUCACGGCUGCUGGAGCCUCCACUGCUGCUAUGAUUCUCAUUGGAAUCACUGCACAUAUCACCUUGCAGGGAAGGAGUGCAUUCCUGCUGUUGUUACAGGAGCCCAAAGUCACACCACUGUUGCUGCCUCCUCCAGCCCCAGAGUCCACAAUCACUGUGCUGCUGUGGCCGCAAUCACUGUGCUGGUGAAGCAAGGAAUCUAGGAGCCUACAUCCACCUGCUGCUGCCACUGUCAGAGGAACUGCCAAAAGAAGAGAACAAGAAGACCUCUUCCUUUAGCUUCCCUUCUAAUCUUUCACCAGGGGCACCCAUUGCAGAACCUAGCCAGAAGUCAGCUGGAAAGAGAGUCAGAGGAAAGUAGCUUGCAGUUUCCCAGUUCCUUACAAUACAACCAAAGCAAGGAAGUGCAGUGUGAUGGUUAAUUUUACGUGUUGCUGGCAUGUUGAUUCAUGCCUGUAAUCCUAGCAUUCUGGGAGGCAGAGGCAAGAUGAUUGCUUGAAGCUAGGAGUUUGAGAAAAGGCUGGGCAAUGUGGCAAGACCCCAUUUCUACAAAAAAUUUUAAAUUGCUGGGUGUGAUGUCUCACAACUGCAAUCCCAGCACUUUGGGAGACCCACGUGGGAAGGUUGUUUAAGCCCAAGAGUUCAUGACAAGCCUGGGCAAGAUAGCGAGACCUGUCUCUACUAAACAAUUAGCCAGGCGUGGUGGUACGUGCCUGUAAUCGCAGCUACUCUGGAGGCUGAGGCACAAGAAUCUCUCGAACCCAGAAGGUAGAGUGUUGUCACUGCAUUCCAGCCUGGGCAACG